UUGCUGCUGUGACAGCUAAUAUAGCAGGGCUGAAGGCUGAGAGCAGAAGCCCUUGAAGCUGUCAGAGAGGAGCCAUGGACAAUGUCUCUGAAUCGGACCCUGGACUCACUAUGGAACCUGAGGGCAAGUCUUUGGACCAGAGGAAGACCAGCCACAGAAGAUUUGCCCUAAAGUCCUGCAACAUUGUCUUGCUGAUAUUCGGACUGCUGAGUAUUCUCUUAAUCUCCCUGCAGUUCAGCUUACAGAAAAAAGAAAAUGGUUGGACCUUUUGAACAGGUUCAGUGAUGCACACGGAGGAGGAGGAGGCCCCCAGCAUCACAGAG